rnacentral:rRNA from 1 species
GACGAACCGAGCGAACGUUGUUCGGAAUCACUGGGCUUAAAGGGCGCGUAGGCGGGCUGCCAAGUCUGGGGUGAAAUCCCGCGGCUCAACCGUGGAACUGCCUCAGAUACUGACGGCCUCGAGGGAGAUAGGGGCGAGCGGAACUAAUGGUGGAGCGGUGAAAUGCGUUGAUAUCAUUAGGAACUCCGGUGGCGAAGGCGGCUCGCUGGAUCUUUUCUGACGCUGAGGCGCGAAAGCUAGGGGGAGCAAACGGG